GGGCCCGCACAAGCGGUGGAGCAUGUGGUUUAAUUCGAUGAUACGCGAGGAACCUUACCAGGGCUUAAUGUAGUUGCAUUAGUUAGAGAUAGCUAUUCUUCGGACCACUUACAAGGUGCUGCAUGGUUGUCGUCAGCUCGUGCCGUGAGGUGUCAGGUUAAGUCCUAUAACGAGCGCAACCCCUGUUGUUAGUUGCCAUCGAGUCAUGUCGGGAACUCUAACAAGACUGCCGGUGCAAACCGUGAGGAAGGUGGGGAUGACGUCAAAUCAUCACGGCCCUUACGUCCUGGCUACACACGUGCUACAAUGGCCGGUACAGAGAGCAGCCACUACGCGAGGUGGAGCA
rnacentral:rRNA from 1 species